AUGGCCUGGACACCUCUCCUCCUAGGCCCUCUUGCUCACUUCACAGCUUCUUUGGCUUCCUAUGUGCUGACUCAGCCUCCAUCUGUGUCAGUGGCCCUGGGACAGACAGCCCAGGUCACCUGUGGGGGAAAAAACAUUGGAAAUAAAAAUGUUUACUGGUACCAGCAGAAGUCAGGCCAGAGUCCUGUGCUGAUCAUCUAUUUUAGCAGCAGCCGGCCCUCAGGGAUCCCUGAGCGAUUCUCAGGCACCAACUCUGGGAACACUGCCACCCUAACCAUCAGUGGGGCCCAGGCCGAGGAUGAGGCUGACUAUUACUGUCAGUCCUAUGAUAGCAGUGGUAAUACUCACAGUGACAGAAGCAGACGGGGAAGUGAGACAAAAACCCCUUCCCCAUCUGUGUCUCACUCUCAUCCAACCCCAGAGGCCUGUGCACAAAGCAAUGAGAAGGCCUGA